ACAUUUUCUCGGCCUCUUGGCUAAGAUCAAGUGUAGCAUCUGUUAUUAGUUUAGUAUCUAAUAUGUGGAUCAAUGAUUUACAUGAUAUUAAAUCAUUUUUUUUUGGGAGGGAGUCUGCCUAGUAGCUUGUUGCUAGGUAGGUUUCUCAAGUGUUGUUUUUGUGUUGCACUAUAGUAUUAGGUGGUGCUUUACAC
rfam:Medicago truncatula strain A17 chromosome 4, whole genome shotgun sequence.